rnacentral:lncRNA from 1 species
CUGGAAUGUUUGGAACUCAACAAUGACAGUCCAGAAGUUUCUGUUUCCCUGGAAGGCUCCGAAGGGAAAGUUUAGAUAAAGACUCCUGGUUUUGUUUUUGUCCUCCUAUCCUGCCUCUCCUAUUCUGGGGCCUCCACUGGGGUGGAAGAACGGCAGAGACACUUGGCCACUUCCUGUCUCGCAUGUCUGUCUUCUCGCUGGCGUUUCAGAAGCUCACGUCGUACCCUCUUACGUUUCCCAGACAGCAAGGCCCACUCAUUUCCAAGACCCACUGAAAACAUUCCUAGUUUUCAGUUAUAUACGAAGUAUCACUUCAUUCUACAGAGAGGAGACUGAGGCCGAGAGAAGGUUGACUCUGGCCUGGGAACUAGCCGAGUUGGUUCCCAAACCUAUGCCUUUAGCCUCCCCAUCCUUGCUUCUGAUGACGCUUGAAGAGGGAGUGUGAGGUGACAGGAAACGGGAAACACGGACUGGUUUUGAGGUGUUCCUGUCAGGAAGUCUGAAUGCCCCGUUGACCCACCAAGCUGGACUCUGGAUGCAAACCUGAAGUAUUUCAGGACUCUCAUGAACAGUGCUAUCGAAGGCCCUGUAUACAAUGAAAGCACGUCUCAGCUUCCUUGAGUAGCCCUGUGACCCAUGCUCCCUCUCAGUGCACUCCAGAACCUGCUCCGUUAUCUUUGAGGCUCUUAUCAAACAUCUAAGACUUCACAAGCCCUCCAGGUCCUGUACACAGCCACAGGAAGAGCACUGAGGCAGAUAUCCCCCUCUUGAAAAGCCCUCAUGGCACACACAGGUAUGUUCUAUUGAUUUCCCCAGCACACAUCUCUGCCUUCUUCUCCCCUCAACCCCCAAUCUCUGUCUCUUGUCUGUCCUCUCAACUCUGUGGUUAGAUCUGUUAAAAUCUUUUCUUGGGUAUUGGGGAGGCAAUACAGCAUGUAUGAAGCCCUGAGUUCAAGAUCCAACAACACAUAAGCCAGUCACAGUAGCACGUUUGUCAUUCCAAGUCCCAGAAAGGCUGAGGCAGGCGAAUCUCCAUGCACUCGGGGCCACCCUGAAUCAGACCCGGACUCAAAACGACAUGUCCAGCAUGGUGACACACGCCUUUGAUCCCAGCACUCAGGAGGCAGAAGCAGAAAGAUCUCUGGGUUUGAGGCCAGCCUGGUCUACACACCAAGUCCUAAGACAGUCAGGGCUACAUAGUGGACCCUGUCUCAAGAAAACAAAACAAACAAAACGAAAACAACUGCCUCAAAAGACAAGCCGUAAGCGAGCAGUUGCUAUAGAAGAAACCUGACCCUUGAGUUUGAACCACAGAUCUGACAUAAAGUGGAAAGAAUGGACUUCAUAAAGUUAUUCUCUGACCUGGGCACGGUGGUACACACAAGCAUAUUUACACAGCAUACACGGAUGUAAAUGCACCCAACAAUAACAAGAAUAAAUAACACCUUCUAGGCAUGGUGGCACACGCCUUUACUAAAUCCCAGCUCUUGGAGACAGAGGCAUGCAAGAUAUCAGAGUUGAAGGACAGCCAGGUUUUCAUACUGAGUUCCUAUCCAGCCAACGAUACAUGGUGAAACCAUGAAACCCUGUCUCAAAACAAACAACAGGGCAUGCUGAGAUGGCUCAGUGGUUGACAGCAAUGCUUGGUCUUCCCAGAGGACUGGGGUUUAAUCCCCAGCAACUCUGUGCAACCAUCUAUAAUCCUAGGGAAUCCGACGGCCUCUGAGGGCAUGCACACGGGAGGUACAAACACAUACGCACACAUUCAAGCAAAACACCCAUCUCUCCCCCCACCCCCAUUUCCCUCUCCCUCUCCUGAGGCAGGCAGAUCUCUAUUAAGGUCAAGUCCAGCCUGGUCUGCCUAGUCUACAUAGCUUCAAGCCAGCCAAGGCUAUAUAGUGAGAUCUUGUCUCAAAAUAAGACCAAAAAUAACUAAAGACAAAAACGCCAAGAAACGAACUGAGGAUGCUCCAGGUGGCCUCUGUGACUUCAGCUGAUCCACAGGUAGCCAACAGCACCCCAGGCUCCAGGCUCUCUACCUCUUGUGCUGACUUUACCCUCAGAGGGAAACUUUCUGGCAAGAACUGCUGUGGCUCCGGCUAUCUGCCAUCAGUAUGCUGUCCUGGGAAGAGUGGAAGCCCCUUCCAGCUCUGCAGAACUGAGAGGGCUCCUCAGUCCACACAGCCAGCCCUCCAUGAUGGCCUCUCUUGGCCAAUCUAUAAAGGCUCUGGUGAUGGCUGCCGUCAACCCUGUGACUUAGAAGAAAUACCUUGUGGAUGUAACCCCUUCCCCCAACUGAACCCGGGUUCUGUCUCCCAUUUCAUGAGACUCCAACGGAGCCAUACGGGUAUGAGGGAGGUGACGCUGGCACACAUGGGCCAGCCAUGGCAUGUGGUAGAGAUGGCAGAACACUCCGAUACAGGAUACUUCCUGCCACCUAGUGUGGGUUGGAAACAAGGCUUAGAGGGAGGGGUGGGCUCUGGAUUGACAGACAGAACCCAAACCCACUCACUGAACUUCUCAAGACGUCGUGAGUUUCCUCAGCUAUGAACUGGAGAGAAAUGGGUAGAGCUGGGUCAAGUUCAAUGGUCAGUUCAUCUGGAAACCCAGGGAGAACUUCUGAGCAGGGGAAAAGCACCUCGUGCUUCCAGGGCAAGGGCAAGGGCAAGGUGAAAGUGCAGAAGAAGCGUUUCCUGAGGGGGGGGUGGGCUGGAUGGGGGGGCGCACGCAUGCAUAUGCACAUACACAGGAACUGAGUUCAAGGUCACCCUUGGUCAUAAAGCUCAUGGUCAGCCUGCAUAUAUGUGACCCUGCCUAAAAUAAUAACAAUCAAAAGGAAAGACAAUGAACGGAGCAAGCAGUCUUAGAACUCCAUAGUAUGUCGGCUCAUUCUGUGGCCAAGUGGGGAUUAGGCGCCACCCAGUGGACAAAUCUGAAGACAGUUGGGUCCAGAAAAGAAUGGGAAAGUCUCUGUUCCUGUAAGGAUGGUGCCAAAGAAAUUUUGGUUUUUGCUUUGUUGAAAUUUGCCACUUGAUAGAACCUUCUAUGUAGAUCAGGCUGGCUCCCCAGUCACACUGGGCUGGAAUACAUUCUCAGUGAAUGGCCAUGGUGUACGGUGUGCACGUCUCACCUGACGGUUUACGCUAACGACUCGCUGUUUAUAAGGACUCUAUGGAAAUGAUGCUAAACAAAAAUCCAAAUUCUAGUAAUUUCUGUGUUCAGAAAUGGGUCAGGAAGCUUUAAAGACUUGUAACAAUGUACUUGGACCACGAACCGUACCAACACGGCAGAUAGUGAUGGUUUGGAAGAGAGAACCUUGAAGAUGAGGACAGUGCUAAGAAAGCUGACCACCUCCUCCAUUUCCUUUACUGAGUCAUUAGUGCUGCCAGCUGAGACGAGGACUGGUCUUGCUGGCUUGGCCGUGUGCAACGAACUAUAGGUACUGUUCACAAGCACAACCGACCCUGGAAGGACAGUAAGACAAGGAUCAGAGGGAUGGCCCUAAGUGCUAUGGUUAGACAUGUGCUAACACAUGUAGCUCCGUUUUUGAGACAGUGUCUCAUGUAGAGCCUGGGUUAGCCGUUAAACAACGUCAACUAGCUGACAGCCAAGGCCUGCUGUAUGUCAGGUUUCAGUUGGGAAGAACAAAAGCGCUUGAGUUGCAGGGGUUAGUCAUAAAUGCUCCAAAUUAUCGGGUAAACAGAGGCAAACUCUCCAGUGGUGGUCACUGGUUUAUACUGGAAGCCUGAACUCUAGAACACUGCUUCUCUUGUGCCGUAUGGGUUUAGUUUCUACCUGUUAACACGGGGAAGAACACAGAAAGCAAUGCCCCUGAGACUUCCCGUUCUGGAGGCCUCCAGGAUUGCCUUCACUGAGCACCCUGUUUUCUUAGACACUCCACAUAAACCAGCUCACCCCUGCUCGAGUCUUUCUUUUUGGGGGACAGAGUCUCUCUGUGCAGCCCUGACUGGGCUGGAACUCACUCUGUAGACCAGGUUAGCCUUGAAUUCAAGAGAUCCGCCUGCUUCUGCAUCCUGAAUGCUGGGAUUUAAGGAGUGCACCACUACAAAAGGCCCCAGAUUUUUUUUUUUUUUUUGAAAUUUCACCUACAUGGGUGUUU